rnacentral:rRNA from 1 species
UACGUAGGGUGCAAGCGUUGUCCGGAAUCAUUGGGCGUAAAGCGCGUGUAGGCGGCUUGGUAAGUCUGCUCUGAAAGCCCGGGGCUCAACCCCGGGAGGCGGGUGGAUACUGUCAAGCUCGAGUCCGGAAGAGGAGUGUGGAAUUCCCGGUGUAGCGGUGAAAUGCGCAGAUAUCGGGAAGAACACCCGUGGCGAAGGCGGCUCUCUGGGACGGUACUGACGCUGAGACGCGAAAGCGUGGGGAGCGAACAGG